AGCGUACAGGUUUCCGUAGGUGACCUGCGGAAGGAUCAUUAUUGAAAUAAACCUGAUAAGUUGUUGCUGGCUCUCUAGGGAGCAUGUGCACACUUGUCAUCUUUGUAUCUUCACCUGUGCACCCUUUGUAGACCUGAGAAUCUCUCUGAAUGCCUUUAGCACUUAGGAUUGAGGAUUGACUUGAUGUCUUUUCUUACAUUUUCAGGUCUAUGUUUUUCAUAUACCCCAAUGUAUGUUUAUAGAAUGUUAUCAAUGGGCCUUUUGUGCCUAUAAACAUUUACAACUUUCAGCAACGGAUCUCUUGGCUCUCGCAUCGAUGAAGAACGCAGCGAAAUGCGAUAAGUAAUGUGAAUUGCAGAAUUCAGUGAAUCAUCGAAUCUUUGAACGCACCUUGCGCUCCUUGGUAUUCCGAGGAGCAUGCCUGUUUGAGUGUCAUUAAUAUCUAUCAACCCAUUUGAUGGGUUGGAUGUGGGUUUGCUGUCCUUCUUGAGGUCACUUCCCUUAAAUGCAUUAGCGGACAACAUUUUGCCAACCGUUCAUUGGUGUGAUAAUUAUCUACGCUAUUAACGUGAAGCAAGGUUCAGCUUCCAGCAGUCCAUUGACUUGGACAAAUUUAUUUUUAUUAAUGUGACCUCAAAUCAGGUAGGACUACCCGCUGAG
rnacentral:rRNA from 1 species